rnacentral:rRNA from 1 species
ACUCCUACGGGAGGCAGCAGUGAGGAAUAUUGGUCAAUGGGCGAGAGCCUGAACCAGCCAAGUCGCGUGAAGGAUGACUGUCUUAUGGAUUGUAAACUUCUUUUGUAGGGGAAUAAAGAACGGUACGUGUACCGGAGUGAAUGUACCCUACGAAUAAGCAUCGGCUAACUCCGUGCCAGCAGCCGCGGUAAUACGGAGGAUGCGAGCGUUAUCCGGAUUUAUUGGGUUUAAAGGGUGCGUAGGCGGCCUGUUAAGUCAGCGGUGAAAUCUAGGAGCUUAACUCCUAAAUUGCCAUUGAUACUGGCGGGCUUGAGUGUAGAUGAGGUAGGCGGAAUGCGUGGUGUAGCGGUGGAAUGCAUAGAUAUCACGCAGAACUCCGAUUGCGAAGGCAGCUUACUAAGGUACAACUGACGCUGAAGCACGAAAGCGUGGGUAUCAAACAGGAUUAGAAACCCCAGUAGUCCAGAAGUG